rnacentral:rRNA from 1 species
UACGGGGGGGGCGAGCGUUGUUCGGAAUCACUGGGCGUAAAGGGCGCGUAGGCGGCCUUCUAAGUCGAACGUGAAAUCCCCGGGCUCAACCCGGGAACUGCGUCCGAUACUGGCAGGCUUGAAUCCGGGAGAGGGAUGUGGAAUUCCAGGUGUAGCGGUGAAAUGCGUAGAUAUCUGGAGGAACACCGGUGGCGAAGGCGGCAUCCUGGACCGGCAUUGACGCUGAGGCGCGAAAGCCAGGGGAGCAAACGGG